rnacentral:lncRNA from 1 species
UUUACCCAAUGCCUCAUUGUCAGGUUUAUUUUCAGUGAUGCCAGUGGAUGUUUCCCCCACUCUGAACUAGGAUUUAAAAAUCCCAGGAACUGGGCAUUAAUAAAUGGCAGCUCUUCCACUUGGAGGAUGAGGCAUCACUCACCCUAUUGAGCCAGACUGCCACAGAAGGGGAGAAAAGGAAAAACCUGGUUCUCUCUCCUUUUCUUUUUGUUCCCAGGCUGCUGAGGCUCAGUUCUGGAGUGAUAACUUUGAAGUGCUGUGAGGAUCCACUGGAUUUUGGCACCAACCCUUGGGAUGUGUUGGCAUCUUCACUCUACCCUCCUUCCCCAGGGUGGUGUUUGUCAGGGACCUCUCCAUGGUUUCAAACCAGGUCCAGAACUGGACACACCAUCCUGCACACCACAUUUAGAUGCUGGAACUGAUGCAAAGAAAGAGCAGAGAUACUGGAGCACAGCCUACGGGUUGGGAGAGAAAGGAGGAAAUAGCUGCAGCUUGGCGUCUCCUCUCUGACCAGCAGCCAGCUCCCUACCUUGGGAUGGAUCCAGCAGGAGCACGGGAGCUCACAUCCAAGAAACCCCAGUGCUCUGCCAAGGCCACACAGGUAGCAAAGAGCCUGAUAGAAAGUCAAGUGAAACAUCUGGGAGCCUUUUUCUUUUAAUUUUUUUCUGCUGCCUCCACUGUGUUUCAGAGCAGGAACUCUCUGAUCCUCUGCACAGAGGAUUUGCCAGAGCUCCAAAUGCUCCAGUCUCCAAGGAAGAACCCUUGGUGUGCACAAACUCACACCCGUGUCCAUCUAGGAAAUGUGGAUCAGAGGACAGCAACAAUAAUCCAAACCAAGAUGUCAGUUGAUUUAUUAGAAUCACAGAAUGGUUUCUGUUGGAAGGGACCUUAAAGCUCAUCCAGUUCCACUCCUGCCAUGCUCAGGGACACCUUCCCCUGUCCCAGGCUGCUCCAAGCCCUGUCCAGCCUGGCCUUGGGCACUGCCAGGGAUUCAGGAGCAGUCACAGCUUCUCUGUGCCAGGGCCUCACCUCCCUCUGAGUAAAGAACCAAAUUCUGGUUCAAAAAACCAUCAGGUCUGGUGCAUUUUUGCCCAGGGAAGAGGUGGAAUCACCAUCCCUGGAAGUGCUAAAAAGAUGCAGAGAUGUGGCUCAGUGGGGACGUGGUUUAGUGGUGGACCUGGCAGUUCUGGGUUAAUGGUUGGGUUUGAUGAUGUCAGAGGGCUUUUCCAAACUUAAUUGUUCUGUGAUUUUAGUAGGGGAAGUGAAGCAUCCGAAAUGCAUCCAGUAAAGCUUUUGAGCAACUUUUCCUUUAUCCUGAGAGAUGUCUUACCCAGCCUAGGAAAAGGAGUCCUGCCAUGGAAUUUGACUGAUUAUUCCCUAAUACCAACAAAUAGCUUAAAUAAAUAAUUUCCUACCAACA